GCUGCCGAAGCUCAGUGGUAGAGCACUCCCUUGGUAAGGGAGAGGUCGAGAGUUCAAUCCUCUCCGGCAGCACCA
rnacentral:tRNA from 1 species